GUGAAUCACAGGUCGGCGGGAGCCUUUUUUCCUUUUUUUUUUUUUCCCGGGGAGUCGGCCUCGGGGCUCUGCUCUCCUACCUCAGUCUGCCCUACCCUGGAAUGGGGAAAAUGCGGACAUGCCACUCAGUCCGGCCGCGAACAGUGCUCCAGAACUCAGAGAGUUUUCCAGACGGGUGGAGAUCGCGUUCCCUGCCCGCCGAGGUCCCAUCGCUUCCCUGCUGGGAAGACAAAUGAGGCGCUUUAGCCGUCUCCACGGCCAGCCCCUCCCUCAUAACCCGAGAUUCUUUGUGGGCUCUUAGUCCAUAGCUGCCUUUGAGGUGGUGUAGACCUUGCUAACCAGGACGGCCCAGUAGGCAGAGCUCAUUUUUAUUCCUGUCUGCAAUCGUGCAAAAACGCCUCUUAUGGAAAAGCCAGAGCGCCAGGAGUCAGCAAAACACACUAAAGAUUGGGCAGUCACUGGGGAGAACACUCAGCCCGCCUGCACCCAGGUGAAAUAUACAGCCUUGUUGCUCACACAAAGCCUGUUUGGUGGUUUCUUCACACGGAUGCAUGUGACAUUUGGUGCUGAAGACCCAGGACAGGAGGACUCCUUUGGGAGACCAGUGCCCUGUUGUCGCCCUCACUCCGUGAGGAGAUCCACCUAUGAUCUCAGGUCCUCAGACCAACCAGCCCAAGGAACAUCUUGCCAAUUUCAAAUCGGGUUGUCAGAAUCUGCAGAGAAGCUUCCUCCAAUCUCCAGCCUGAGAGUUCAGGCCUGGUUACCAGCAUUCUAGAAGCUGAAAGAGGAGAAGUUCUUGGAAGACUAAGAAGUCCAACAUUCGAAAGCGUCUUACUAUGUUGCCCAGGCUGUUUCAAACUCCUGGGCUUGCGUGGACACGGUGGCUCACGCCUGUAACUCCAACACUUCGGGAGAUUGAGGCAGGUGAAUCUGAGAUCAGGAGUUCGAGACCAACCUGGCCAACAAGGCCUCCCCUCAUGUAUCACUUCUUCAGAAAUGACUUCUGUGACCACAUCUGAGUAGAGACGGGGUUUCUCCAUGUUGGCCAGGCUGGCCUCGAACUCCCGAUCUCACGUGAUCCUCCCACCUCGGCCUCCCAAAGGGUUGAGAUUACAGGAGUGAGCCACCACUCCCGGCCAAGGUGUUGAAAAAGUUGCCUUUUAAAUACCCGAAGAAUAAAAAAAAGAAAGAAAAA
ensembl:lncRNA OLMALINC oligodendrocyte maturation-associated long intergenic non-coding RNA